CAGCAGUUACCCCUGUAUCUCUUAGAGGUGUAUUCCCAUAGGGGUGAAUAGAGGGCAUAUGCCGACUCCCGCUCUGUGUGCGAAGAGAGACGGAGAGUCGCAUAGGAGAUCACCGGGGUCCCAAUGGUUAGAAGGAAGAGGAGGCUUGGGAUGAAACACAUUUCUGUGCAGAAAAAGAUAUAUUGUCAGAAUGACAACAAUUACCACAGAAGCAAAAAGAACCAAGAUGGAUCCCAUGAUGACUUCUUUAAAUGUGACCGAUGAGGCCAUUGACUGACCAGGCUGUUUCAUUAAGGACUCUGGAACAUCAGCGGCGCUGGACCAGGAGCAUCAGGAGAAUUGAAGUCAGCAAAUUAGAGACUGAAAAACAGCAAGUUAUGAUCCAAUCCGUUCCACGCAUAAAAACAUCCAGGUUUAAAUGUCUACAUAACAGAUGUAAAUGUACAGCUAAGAGUUUGUAAGAUUUGAG